rnacentral:rRNA from 1 species
UACAGAGGGGGCAAGCGUUGUUCGGAAUUACUGGGCGUAAAGGGCGCGUAGGCGGCCUGUUAAGUCGAACGUGAAAUCCCCGGGCUCAACCCGGGAACUGCGUCCGAUACUGGCAAGCUUGAAUCCGGGAGAGGGAUGUGGAAUUCCAGGUGUAGCGGUGAAAUGCGUAGAUAUCUGGAGGAACACCGGUGGCGAAGGCGGCAUCCUGGACCGGUAUUGACGCUGAGGCGCGAAAGCCAGGGGAGCAAACGGG